GUCUUAUUGUAUUUAAUAAUAAGUCUGGCCUGCCCUAUGUAUUUAUAAAUGGCCGCGGUAUUUUGACCGUGCGAAGGUAGCAUAAUGAAUAGUCCAUUAAUUGUGGUCUGGAAUGAAAGGUUUCACGGAGAAUAACUUUUUUUAUUUUAUUGAUGAAUUUGAAUUAUUAGUUAAAAUGCUAAUAUGAUUUAGGAGGACGAGAAGACCCUAUAGAGCUUUACAUAUUAAUUUUUUGUAGUAUAAUUUAAUAUAUGUUUUGUUGGGGCGACAAUAAAUAUAAACAUUUAUUAUUAAGUCUAAUAUUGUAGGUUAAAUGAUCCAUUAUUAAUGAUUUUAGACUAAGUUACCUUAGGGAUAACAGCGUAAUUUUAUUUUAGAGUUCUUAUCGAUAAUAAAGAUUGCGACCUCGAUGUUGGAUUAUAAUUCCUGUAAGGCGCAGUAGUCUUAUAAGGUAGUCUGUUCGACUAUUAAAAUUUUACAUGAUCU
rnacentral:rRNA from 1 species